AUUGAACGCUGGCGGCAGGCCUAACACAUGCAAGUCGAGCGGAUGAAGGGAGCUUGCUCCUGGAUUCAGCGGCGGACGGGUGAGUAAUGCCUAGGAAUCUGCCUGGUAGUGGGGGAUAACGUCCGGAAACGGGCGCUAAUACCGCAUACGUCCUGAGGGAGAAAGUGGGGGAUCUCGGACCUCACGCUAUCAGAUGAGCCUAGGUCGGAUUAGCUAGUUGGUGGGGUAAAGGCCUACCAAGGCGACGAUCCGUAACUGGUCUGAGAGGAUGAUCAGUCACCCUGGAACGGGAACACGGUCCAGACUCCUACGGGAGGCAGCAGUCGGGAAUAUUAGACAAUAGGCGAAAGCCUGAUCCAACCAUGCCGCGUGUGUGAAGGAGGUCUUCGGAUUGUAAAGCACUUUAAGUUGGGAGGAAGGGCAGUAAGUUGAUACCUUGCUGUUUUGACGUUACCAACAGAAUAAGCACCGGCUAACUUCGUG
rnacentral:rRNA from 1 species